rnacentral:rRNA from 1 species
UACGUAGGUGGCGAGCGUUGUCCGGAUUUACUGGGCGUAAAGGGCGUGCAGGCGAUUUGUUAAGUGCAGGGUGAAAGCUCCCGGCUCAACUGGGAGAGGUCCUUGCAUACUGGCGAACUCGAGGGAGGCAGAGGAAAGUGGAAUUCCCGGUGUAGUGGUGAUAUGCGUAGAUAUCGGGAGGAACACCUGUGGCGAAGGCGGCUUUCUGGGCCUUACCUGACGCUGAGACGCGAAAGCGUGGGGAGCGAACCGG